GACCUUUUUUUUUUUUGUUUUCGGUUUUUUGAGAAGGUAAAUUGAAGGGGAAUUUGGCCCAAUACCCUCAUAGGACCGAGGUUAAUGAAUUUUGCCCCUUCACUUGAUAUCUUUUUUGUUCUACCCCUUCAAUCUUUUAUAAUCCCAAAAUAUUCUUAUGUUUUUUUUUAUAUGUUUUUUUCUUUCCUUUCUUCGACUUUUCUCCUCCAUCUCUUUAUCCAUAACCAGACUAUUAGGAGCCCUCUGUUUCCUUUCGCAUCGGCCGGAUUGUAAGCGUGGAGACUGUGCGUUUUGAAGGAGAUGGUGAAGAGGCGACUCAGAGAGAAAACUGCAGGGUUUUAGAGAGCCCUAGGAGCAGAAGCAGAAGCAACAUGUAGGCAACAGCGAAGUAGGAAAGCAUGAGGCUCAUUCGAUCAAUCACUGUGGUGGUAGGCAUUUCUUGCUGAGAGAUAUGUAUGAUGAUAUGAUGUUGGAUGGAGUACAGCCAACUAGGGAUACAUUCCAUUCUGUCAUCAGUUAGUGGAAAGGUGCUUUCAUGUUUGUUAUCAUGGACUUUCAUUCUUUCUGGAAUUUUCCGUUUGCUUGAUUUUGUUUUGUUGCAGGUGGAUAAGCAAAAUGCUCAUUUCUUUGGUGUUACGAUCAAUGAGCAACAAGCCGAGUGUGGUAUUGUAGUAAGAGUUACUUCAAAUGCACAAAGCAAAUUUAAGUUACUUUAUUUCGAGCAAGAUGUGAAUGGCGGUUAUGGUUUGGCCCUACAGGUACCAUAUCUUCUUUUCUAUUGUGUCUUCAAUCCAUUUUCCAUUUUAUAGUGCAUAUGAUUUUUGCAUUCUAAAAGCUGUCAUGGUUGUUUAAAAAUUUUGAAGCAUAGAUGGAGUCAACAGUGCCAAUGAUCAUAUACAAUUGGUAGAAAUGUUUUGUAAUACUCUUGUCAUGUUAAACUUUCUGCUGUUAUAUCCUUCAAUUUCUAAGUACUAUGCGUCUCUAAUUUAUUUUCAAAGCAUAAAAUUGUGGCUGUGAAAUUGUGAUUUUGAAUAUCACACAUGGGUAGAACUUAAAAUUAGUAACCUACCUGUGAAUGUGAAAAUGAUGCUCAACUUGUCUUUUCAAGUGAAUGCUUCUUCAUUCAGCUUCCAAUUUCCACACCCCCCCCCCCCCCCCCAAAAUGAAAUCCAUGGGUUUGGUCCCUGAUGUAUGUAUUUGUAUAUAUAUGCUUCUUCUUUUUUUUUCGUUUUUGUUUUUUUUCACAUGGAUCUGCAUUAAUUUUUAU